GUUUGGUGACAAAAAAAUCUAUUUUCCCUAUUUUAACAUAUUUUUUAUGGGAUUUAUUUAUAGGAUUCUUUGUACUUGGCAUCUCUUGCACUGAUCCACUCUAAUGUUCUGAGAAUCCGAUAUGAAAGGCAUUAUUGAGUUUUAACUAUACACUUCUCCUUUUUAAUUUUCCUAUUAUAUAUACACGGAUAACAGUUUUGGAAUAAGCACAUACUUUAUUAUAGAAAAAUAUAUAGGUUCCUUGCACUUAUCUGGAGGUCAUGGUUUGUUCUAUGGUGUGUAAAACAUGUAGCGGUUUGGCUUCCUCCACUGCUGGUCUCGCUUACUUUGGUAAUUCAUGUUUGUUUUUACUAUUUCAGGUAUACAUGACAGUGUUCUUGUCAUAGAAAAUUAUGGGAUAACUGAGAUUUGCUUUUUUUGAAUUUGUUUAUGUUUAUCGUUAGUUGAACAAGUCUUAGUUAGCCAAAGAGACUGUUAUAUAUGCUGCUUGAACAUAUAUGUUAAGUUGUCGA
rnacentral:lncRNA from 1 species